GCCUCUUGUGUGUCAGUGAACGUAACACAGUGUCUCUUUUACAGUGGUACCACAGGGAGGCUCCAAAGUCAUCAGACAUUUUUUAAAUCCUACACAUAGAGGCUUUUAAAUCAUGGAGCAAUAGAAAGUAAAUAAGACAAUAAAAACUUGCUUUGACUUGUUUGACUGUUUACAAAACUUUCUAGUUGUCUGUGUGUCUGACUGGGCCAAACCAAUACUUUCAAUAUGGAGGGGGGUGCACGAGCGGCCCCUCCCAAUUUAGACUGAUCUUUGUCUGAUUUGCUCAACAGGGCCCAUCAAAGAAGUUUACUUUCCAUUUGGAGUGAGUUUAAUCUCCAAAGGUUUUGUUGAGGCUGAGGUCAGCACUGGGUUGUGCGAUAGGUGCAACAGAGGAGUGAGAGAAGGGACAGGAGGACAAGGAGGAGGAGAAGGUCGCGCACUGAUACAAACCUGGAGUGUAAACAAUCUACUGGUUCAAACAGAAGUCAAACAGGCUGCGGUAACUUCUGGAUCCUUUGUGUCUGACAUCAGACUUUUGUCGAAAAUCCAGACAAGAUGGGGAAAUUCCUCGUGAACUUGCUCUCCAAGGUGCCAGCAUCUGUUGAGGUUGCAUCUUCCCCUAACGAUCAUCAAGGUAUCUCUGUACCUGUCUGAGAAUCUGGGUGCCUGAGGGUUUGCUAACCUUUGCCUCAGUCUUCAGGUCUGCCUGUUACCGGACACUCUGCUCAACCUGCCAGUCAGCCAUGCGUUGCGUAAACAACCCCCUCUCUGGCCUGCCACUCUGUACACUGUGUGUCAAUAUUUAAACUGAACCGCCUGUUUCCAUCUGCUUCUGGGUUUUAGCUACAAAUCCUGACAUGAUGAUCAUACUAUGGAGGGAUCAUCAAACUAAAAUUGGGAACUUUGGGCUUUUUUCACUUUGCAAACCUAUUACAUGCACAAAAAAGAUAUAUAAACACAAUACAGGGAAAAACCCUAAAAACAUAACCUCUUUAUUAUUGAGCUUGUUGGACAGUCAGAGGACAAGGUUUAUUUAUCUUUUAGUGAAUUAAUCUAAGUGAAACUUUCAAAGUGAGCUGGACAACAAUAGUAUACAGUCUCAGUGAAUUAUGUGACUCUGCACCUGAAGACAAAUCUCUACCCAACACAUUACAGUGACACGGAUCUUGAUUGGCUCUCACAUAGCAGCCAACCAUAAAGGUGCUUCUUACAAUAAUCAUGUCAGUGGGAUGAUGCAACGUCACAGCAGUCUUCUUCCAGUCAGUAUAAAUGUUUGUCACCCGUAUUUAGACACACAGAAUGAACUCACUGUCAAAUCUGGCUGGCAUUUACUCACUAGUUGAGUCAACAUCCUAAUAUGUCUGACAGUUUCAAGUUAUUCAAGUUCAAGACUUAUCAUCAGAUUCAAUGCUUAUACCACAUAAAGUUGUCUCUAGCUGUUUCACACUAUCAUGACAUAAAUAAUAAUAAUAAUAAUCCUUAUUUGUAGAGCAUUUUUCAAAAACAAGUUACAAAGUGCUUUAACAAGUGUAAAGAAUAAUACAAAAACAAAACAAAACAAGAUAAGAGCAUGAAA